GUGGGGAUGACGUCAAGUCCUCAUGGCCCUUAUAGGUGGGGCUACACACGUCAUACAAUGGAUGGUACAAACGGGUCGCCAAACCGCGAGGGGGAGCCAAUCCCUAUAAAACCAUUCGUAGUCCGGAUCGCAGUCUGCAACUCGACUGCGUGAAGUCGGAAUCGCUAGUAAUCGUGGAUCAGAAUGUCACGGUGAAUACGUUCCCGGGUCUUGUACACACCGCCCGUCACACCAUGG
rnacentral:rRNA from 1 species